GACUGCUUGGCGAAACGGUAUCGCGUCACUGUGCAGUUCCGCUCAGUUGAAGAUGCAGGUUCGAAUCCCGCAGCAGUCA